AUAUCUUUCUUAACCUUUUGGCUAAGAUAAAGUGCAAUAUCUAUAGUUUAAUAACUGAUAUGUGGAUCAUAUUUCCACAUUAAUUUUAAAUUUCUUUUUAUGGGGAGGGUCCAUUACACUAGUUUGCCAUUGGACCCUCGCGUGGCAUAUUGCACUAUACCAUCAAAUAUGA
rnacentral:snRNA from 1 species